GACGAACCGUGCGAACGUUAUUCGGAAUCACUGGGCUUAAAGCGCGUGUAGGCGGGGCGGCACGUCGGUCGCUGAAAUCCCCCGGCUUAACCGGGGAACGGGCGCCGAUACGACCGCCCUGGAGGGACGUAGGGGGGGCUGGAACUUCCGGUGGAGCGGUGAAAUGCGUUGAGAUCGGAAGGAACGCCCGUGGCGAAAGCGAGCCCCUGGACGUUUUCUGACGCUGAGACGCGAAAGCCAGGGGA
rnacentral:rRNA from 1 species